rnacentral:snoRNA from 2 species
UAUAAAGUCAUAUGAUGAUUACAAUGAUAGGACUGAAAAAAAAUUUCAUGUUGAUAAAUUUAAUAGCCGAUAAUAUAAAUAUGCUGAUUCC